AAAAAGGUCUUUAUCAAGGCCAUCUAUCAUAUGCUUAAAAGAUUUUG
rfam:Rhabditophanes sp. KR3021 genome assembly, scaffold: RSKR_scaffold0000002